UUCCGGUUGAUCCUGCCGGACCUGACUGCUAUCGGAUUGAUACUAAGCCAUGCGAGUCAUUGUAGCAAUACAAGGCAGACGGCUCAGUAACGCGUAGUCAACCUAACCUAUGGACGGGAAUAACCUCGGGAAACUGAGUAUAAUGCCCGAUAGAACAUUAUGCCUGGAAUGGUUUAUGUUCCAAAUGAUUUAUCGCCGUAGGAUGGGACUGCGGCCUAUCAGUUUGUUGGUGAGGUAAUGGCCCACCAAGACUAUUACAGGUACGGGCUCUGAGAGGAGUAGCCCGGAGAUGGGUACUGAGACACGGACCCAGGCCCUAUGGGGCGCAGCAGGCGAGAAAACUUUGCAAUGUGCGAAAGCACGACAAGGUUAAUCCGAGUGGUUUCUGCUAAAGAAACCUUUUGUUAGUCCUAGAAACACUAACGAAUAAGGGGUGGGCAAGUUCUGGUGUCAGCCGCCGCGGUAAAACCAGCACCUCAAGUGGUCAGGAUGAUUAUUGGGCCUAAAGCAUCCGUAGCCGGCUCUGUAAGUUUCCGGUUAAAUCUGUGCGCUCAACGUACAGGCUGCCGGGAAUACUGCAGAGCUAGGGAGUGGGAGAGGUAGACGGUACUCGGGAGGAAGGGGUAAAAUCCUUUGAUCUUUCGAUGACCACCUGUGGCGAAGGCGGUCUACCAGAACACGUCCGACGGUGAGGGAUGAAAGCUGGGGGAGCAAACCGGAUUAGAUACCCGGGUAGUCCCAGCUGUAAACUAUGCAAACUCAGUGAUGCAUUGACUUGUGGUCAAUGCAGUGCUGCAGGGAAGCCGUUAAGUUUGCCGCCUGGGAAGUACGUACGCAAGUAUGAAACUUAAAGGAAUUGGCGGGGGAGCACCACAAGGGGUGAAGCCUGCGGUUCAAUUGGAUUCAACGCCGGA
rnacentral:rRNA from 1 species